rnacentral:rRNA from 1 species
UACGUAGGAGACGAGCGUUGUCCGGAGUUACUGGGCGUAAAGGGUGCGCAGGUGGCCGCGCGCGUGGGGGGUGAAAUCGCCCGGCUUAACUGGGCGGGGGCCUUCCAGACGGCGUGGCUUGAGGCGCGGAGGGGGGCGUGGAAUUCCGGGUGGAGCGGUGAAAUGCGUAGAGAUCCGGAGGAACACCGACGGCGUAGGCAGCGCCCUGGCCGCGAAGGCUGUGUUACAGCAGUUUGAACCUGACACUGAGGCACGAAAGCUGGGGGAGCAAACAGG